rnacentral:rRNA from 1 species
UACGUAGGGUGCGAGCGUUGUCCGGAUUUAUUGGGCGUAAAGAGCUCGUAGGCGGUCUGUCGCGUCGGAUGUGAAAACCCAGGGCUCAACCCUGGGCCUGCAUUCGAUACGGGCAGACUAGAGUACGGCAGGGGAGACUGGAAUUCCUGGUGUAGCGGUGAAAUGCGCAGAUAUCAGGAGGAACACCGGUGGCGAAGGCAGUGUUCUGGGCCAGUACUGACGCUGAGGAGCGAAAGCGUGGGGAGCAAACAGG